GAACGUUCCGGGUCUCUUCCUCUCAUGAAUAUCUCAAAGUUGAAGUUUCAACGUAACUAUAAUUUCCACACCUCAUCCCACCUUAAAACGAACACCCAACCCUCCUCUUCGUUACAAUAUCUCCUCUUCCCUCUUCAUUCUAGCAUUCAUAAACCUUUUUGAGUCCUUGAACACUCCUCUAGCUCUCCAAAAAUGGCUGUCCAACACCAGGCUCACUAUACGAUCGCCUUCCUCCUAUUCCUUCUAAUUCUAUUCCAACAAUCCGCUGCAAGGCCUACUAUACGUGGUUCCCCGGGUCAGAAAGAAGGCGUCUUUGCUCCGCCACUGGAGAGGCCGUUUGGGUAUAAUCCUCCACGAGCCGGUCCAUGCGACAUGGCGUCGAAGGUGAGCACCGAGAGCUCGAGAUCAAAGCAGAAGCUCGUGGAGAGGUAUGGGCCGCUGUUGUUCAAUGUUCUUCCUAGAUCAACUGUUCCGCCGUCCGGUCCGAGUGGGGGAACCAACGAGAAUAAGAAUUAAGUGGAGGAGUACUAUUAUUAGUUCUUGGAUUAGUAUUUAUCUAGGAUGAUUUGCACACGACACACGCAUAUAUACAUUUGAUUUCUUCCUUCUUUGUAUUCCUCUCAGAAACAUUGUAAAUAUUAGGAUUACAAGAAGUUUGUAUACGUUAUUCUCAUGAUAAAUUUUUGCAGUUCCUGCAACGCGCUUGUAUUGCAAUUAUUCAAGGAGAAUAUAUACACUAGUUGUCAUAAAAUUUGAGACAUGUGGAUAAAUUUUCUGUCGCUAAUAGUUAAUUUUAGUACCUUUUUGGAGGUUCAGUGGUAUAACUGAAGCUAUAAUUAAGUGAAGAAAUAUCAGAGAUGGUUUGAGAUUUCGAAUGGUGGAGCAAAAUCUAGUGCCAGGUCGCAGGGUCGGUCAUUCUGGAAAAAAAAUGGUUAAGGAAUAAAGAAGAGCAGUUGCUUACGUGGGACGAAGAGUGAGGAGAGGUUUUCAAUUCCGAACCAAUUCUCACAUGCUUGGGGUCCCACCGUACGUGGGGUAGUUGGCUCCUUUAUGGUAGCUUCUG
rnacentral:lncRNA from 1 species